CCCACACACAUGUGUGUAAGACCUCAAAUGAUCACCAUUAAAUUUGAUACAGACAUCUAGAAAAGUUAUCAUAUGGAUAUGGGACUUGACUUUUUUAGAGAUCUAUGUCAAAUUUAAUGGUGAUCCUUUAGGGUCUUACAUACAUGUGUGUGGG
rnacentral:pre_miRNA from 1 species